GGGGAUUCUCGAAAAGAGAAAAUGCUUGGUUUUCUGGUUAAAUGGGGGAUUUGCGAAGAGAAAACGCGUGAUUUUCGCUUAAAUGGGGGAUUUGAGAAAACGCGUGAUUUUCGCUUAAAUGUUGGAUUCUCGAAGAGAAAACGCGUGAUUUUCACUUAAAUGGGGAAUUUGCGAAGAGAAAACGCGUGAUUUUCAAGUUAAAUGGAGGAUUUACGAAGAGAAAACGUGAUUUUCUGGUUAAAUGGGGGAUUUCCGAAGAGAAAACGCGUGAUUUUCGCUUAAAUGGGGGAUUUGAGAAAACGCGUGAUUUUCGCUUAAAUGUUGGAUUCUCGAAGAGAAAACGCGUGAUUUUCACUUAAAUGGGGAAUUUGCGAAGAGAAAACGCGUGAUUUUCAAUUAAAUGGAGGAUUUACGAAGAGAAAACGCAUGAUUUUCUGGUUAAAUGGGGGAUUUCCGAAGAGAAAACGCGUGAUUUUCGCUUAAAUGGGGGAUUUGAGAAAACGCGUGAUUUUCGCUUUAAAUGUUGGAUUCUCGAAGAGAAAACGCGUGAUUUUCACUUAAAUGGGGAAUUUGCGAAGAGAAAAC
ensembl:lncRNA